rnacentral:rRNA from 1 species
CCUACGGGCGGCUGCAGUGGGGAAUAUUGGACAAUGGGCGCAAGCCUGAUCCAGCCAUGCCGCGUGAGUGAUGAAGGCCCUAGGGUUGUAAAGCUCUUUCAGCGGUGAAGAUAAUGACGGUAACCGUAGAAGAAGCCCCGGCUAACUUCGUGCCAGCAGCCGCGGUAAUACGAAGGGGGCUAGCGUUGUUCGGAAUUACUGGGCGUAAAGCGCACGUAGGCGGAUUGUUAAGUGAGGGGUGAAAUCCCAGGGCUCAACCCUGGAACUGCCUUUCAUACUGGCAAUCUCGAGUCCGAGAGAGGUGAGUGGAAUUCCGAGUGUAGAGGUGAAAUUCGUAGAUAUUCGGAGGAACACCAGUGGCGAAGGCGGCUCACUGGCCCGGUACUGACGCUGAGGUGCGAAAGCGUGGGGAGCAAACAGGCUUAGAUACCCCGGUAGUC